rnacentral:rRNA from 1 species
UACGUAGGUGGCAAGCGUUGUCCGGAUUUACUGGGCGUAAAGGGAGCGUAGGCGGACUUUUAAGUGAGAUGUGAAAUACUCGGGCUCAACUUGAGUGCUGCAUUUCAAACUGGAAGUCUAGAGUGCAGGAGAGGAGAAUGGAAUUCCUAGUGUAGCGGUGAAAUGCGUAGAUAUAUGGAAGAACACCAGUGGCGAAAGCGGCUCUCUGGUCUGUAACUGACGCUGAGGUUCGAAAGCGUGGGUAGCAAACAGG